GAUGAACGCUGGCGGCGUGCCUAAUACAUGCAAGUCGAGCGAACGGACGAGAAGCUUGCUUCUCUGAUGUUAGCGGCGGACGGGCGAGUAACACGUGGAUAACCUACCUAUAAGACUGGGAUAACUUCGGGAAACCGGAGCUAAUACCGGAUAAUAUUUUGAACCGCAUGGUUCAAAAGUGAAAGACGGUCUUGCUGUCACUUAUAGAUGGAUCCGCGCUGCAUUAGCUAGUUGGUAAGGUAACGGCUUACCAAGGCAACGAUGCAUAGCCGACCUGAGAGGGUGAUCGGCCACACUGGAACUGAGACACGGUCCAGACUCCUACGGGAGGCAGCAGUAGGGAAUCUUCCGCAAUGGGCGAAAGCCUGACGGAGCAACGCCGCGUGAGUGAUGAGGGUCUUCGGAUCGUAAAACUCUGUUAUUAGGGAAGAACAUAUGUGUAAGUAACUGUGCACAUCUUGACGGUACCUAAUCAGAAAGCCACGGCUAACUACGUG
rnacentral:rRNA from 1 species